AGCCUUGUUGUGCAUCUCCUGCAGACAGGGAGCGCGAGUGCACAGGUGGAACAGGUGUUGUUGUUGUUGCCAUGGCGACUGAUAAUGGAGUGACAAUUUGCUCUCGAUGUCCAGGUUGGACACGGCUGCAAGAAGAAGACAACACCUGUCAUUGGUCAGAUGUCCUGCAGGUGUCUUCCAUGCUUCCUGUUUACUUCAUGUUCCACACAGGUGAGAACAACUUCCUGUUUACGUCAUGUUCCACACAGGUGAGAACAACUUCCUGUUUACGUCAUGUUCCACACAGGUGACAACAACUUCCUGUUUACUUAAUGUUCCACACAGGUGACAACAACUUCCUGUUUACUUCAUGUUCCAAACAGGUGAGAACAACUUCCUGUUUACGUCAUGUUCCACACAGGUGAAAACAACUUCCUGUUUACUUCAUGUUCCACACAGGUGACAACAACUUCCUGUUUACGUCAUGUUCCACACAGGUGAAAACAACUUCCUGUUUACUUUAUGUUCCACACAGGUGACAACAACUUCCUGUUUACGUCAUGUUCCACACAGGUGACAACAACUUCCUGUUUACUUCAUGUUCCACACAGGAUGGAUGCUGGCGUGGCGACCAAGAUGGCGUCUUUACUAUUGGAGGGCGGGUUGUUCGCUGAGGACGUGUCUCCAUAGGCGUGGUGUGGCGGCCAGCCAACUAGCGUUUCUAUGGAAACCACUUGGAGAUGAAAGCUGCGAGGAGCCAGAGAGAUUCCCACAAUGCUUUGUGCCUGCUGGGGGAUCUCUGCUUGUCUUCACCUGGACAGGUGUUACCCGGAUUCUACUCCACUUAGCUUAGCAUUGUUGCAGCCGCUCAUUGGAAUGUGAAAAAAGAAAUCAACAAACAGCACACCUGAGGGCCCAAAUCAACAAACAGCACACCUGAGGGCCCAAAUCAACAAACAGCACACCUGAGGGCCCAAAUCAACAAACAGCACACCUGAGGGCCCAAAUAAACAAACAGCACACCUGAGGGCCCAAAUCAACAAACAGCACACCUGAGGGCCCAAAUCAACAAACAGCACACCUGAGGGCCCAAAUCAACAAACAGCACACCUGAGGGCCCAAAUCAACAAACAGCACACCUGAGGGCCCAAAUCAACAAACAGCACACCUGAGGGCCCAAAUCAACAAACAGCACACCUGAGGGCCCAAAUCAACAAACAGCACACCUGAGGGCCCAAAUCAACAAACAGCACACCUGAGGGCCCAAAUCAACAAACAGCACACCUGAGGGCCCAAAUCAACAAACAGCACACCUGAGGGCCCAAAUGAACAAACAGCACAUCUGAGGGCCCAAAUAAACAAACAGCACACCUGUGUUUAGUUGUGUGAUAUAAUGUGUGAUACAAGCGUGUUUUCUUGUGUGUGAUAUUAUGUGUGAUGCAAGCAGUGUAUACUUGUGCGAUACAAGCAUUAAUGCAGCAUGUUCACUUGUGUGAAAUAUCAUGUGCUAUACAAGCAGAGUGUUUACAUGUGUGUGACAGCAUGUGUGAUACAAGCAGAGUGUUGUGUGAUAUCAUGUGCGAUACAAGCAUGAAUACAGCAUGUUUGCUUGUGUGUGAUAUCAUGUGUGAUACAAGCAUUAAUACAGCCCGUUGUGUGUGAUAGCAUGUGUGAUACAAGCAUUAAUACAGCUAGUUUACUUGUGUGUGACAUCAUGUGCGAUACAAGCAUUAGUACAGCCUGUUUAAUUGUGUGUGAUAUAAUGUGCGAUACAAGCAGUUCUGCCGUGUGUUUACUUGUGUUUGAUAUCAUGUGCUAGACUACAAACGUAUCAUUAAUACAACGUGUUUACCUGCGUGUGAUCUCAUGUGCAAUACAAGCAUUAAUACAGCAUGUUUACUUGUGUGGGAUAUCAUGUGCGAUACAAGCAGAGUGUUUACUUGUGUGAUAUCAUGUGCAAUACAAGCAUUAAUGCAGCAUGUUUACUUGUGUGUGAUAUCAUGUGCAAUACAAGCAUUAAUGCAGCAUGUUUACUUGUGUGUGAUAUAAGCAGUCUUGCAGCGUGUUUACUUGUUUGUGACAUCAUGUGCAAUACAAGCAUUAAAUACAGCAUGUUUACUUGUGUGGGAUAUCAUGUGCGAUACAAGCAGAGUGUUUACUUGUGUGAUAUCAUGGGCGAUACAAGCAUUAAUACAGCAUGUUUACUUGUGUGGGAUAUCAUGUGCGAUACAAGCAGAGUGUUUACUUGUUUGUGACAUCAUGUGCGAUACAAGCAUUAGUACAGCCUGUUUACUUGUGUGAUAUCAUGUGCGAUACAAGCAGUCCUGCAGCGUGUUUACUUUUGUUUGAUAUCAUGUGCUAGACUACAAACGUAUCAUUAAUACAGCGUGUUAACCUGCGUGUGAUCUCAUGUGCAAUACAAGCAUUAAUACAGCAUGUUUACUUGUGUGGGAUAUCAUGUGCGAUACAAGCAGAGUGUUUGUUUGUGUAAUAUCAUGUGCGGUACAAGCAU